GGGUGCUCGAGUGGCGAACGGGUGAGUAACACGUGAGUAACCUGCCCUUGACUUUGGGAUAACUUCAGGAAACUUGGGCUAAUACCGGAUAGGAGCUCCUGCUGCAUGGUGGGGGUUGGAAAGUUUCGGCGGUUGGGGAUGGACUCGCGGCUUAUCAGCUUGUUGGUGGGGUAGUGGCUUACCAAGGCUUUGACGGGUAGCCGGCCUGAGAGGGUGACCGGCCACAUUGGGACUGAGAUACGGCCCAG
rnacentral:rRNA from 1 species